GGCGACCUUCACAUUAGCAACGCGACUUUGGUUGCUGGGUAAACACAGGCAGAUGGAUCCAGCCCCAGUGAUUUUGAGCAGUGACGGAUGGUGAAGAAUCUAUUAAACUGAGAUGUGAGACCCAAAAGGCUUAGUGUUCGAAGAUGAGCAGAGAAAUCACUCCAGACUACAAGAAGUUUUAUCUGUUGGGUCUGAAGACUUCGAUCUCAUUCCUCGGUCACGGUCUGAUAACUGUCUUUGCCUUUUGGCUAUUGGUACCAGUAUUUAGAGGCUGUGAACAAUUUAGAAAGGCCUCUAGCCCA